AAGAAAUAGUUUAAUUUAAAAAUAUUAAUUUUGGAGAUUAGAGAUGAAUAAUAAUUUUUUCUUGAU
rnacentral:tRNA from 1 species